GACGAACGCUGGCGGCGUGCUUAACACAUGCCAGUCGAACGGAAAGGCCCUGCUUGCAGGGUGCUCGAGUGGCGAACGGGUGAGUAACACGUGGGUGAUCUGCCCCUUACUUUGGGAUAAGCCUGGGAAACUGGGUCUAAUACUGGAUAGGACCAUGCUGUAGGUGGUGUGGUGGACAGAUUAGUUUCGGUAAGGGAUGAGCUCGCGGCCUAUCAGCUUGUUGGUGGGGUAUUGGCCUACCAAGGCGUCGACGGGUAGCCGGCCUGAGAGGGUGGACGGCCACACUGGAACUGUGAGGCGGGCCAGACUCCGACGGGUGGCAGAAGGGGGGAAUAUUGCACAAUGGGCGCAAGCGUGAGGCAGCGAGGCCGCGUGGGGGAUGACGGCCUUCGGGUUGUAAACACCUUUCAGCCAUGACGAAGCCUUCGGGUGACGGUAGUGGUAGAAGAAGCACCGGCUAACUACGUG
rnacentral:rRNA from 1 species